GGCGCACAGAUUAGCGCAGACAGGCUCAGACGCACCUAGACAGGCACAGACAGGCGUGCAGACAGGCGCACAGAUUAGCGCAGACAGGCGCAGCACCUAGACAGGCACAGACAGGCGUGCAGACAGGCGCAGCACCUAGACAGGCUCAGACAGGCAUGCAGACAGGCGCACAGAUUGGCGCAGACAGGCACAGCACCUAGACAGGCACAGACAGGCGUGCAGAGUAGCGCAGACAGGCGCAGACACAUGUAGACAGGCACAGACAGGCACACACUGGCGCACAGUCAGGUGCAAAGAUAGACGUGUAGACAGGCGCAGACAGGCACAGAUACGUGCAGACAGGCGCAGGCUAAUCCUACGUGCCCAGGGGCUCACAGGGCUAAUCAGUGAAAGUGCUGGGAGCUUCCCCCUCCAGAUGCCACCUCGUGCAGCCCCUGGCUCUGUGCAGUGCCCGGGUCCGGGUCUCCAGGCUCCUGUGCAGAUAGGAGACACCCCAGCGUGAGGCCCCCUGGCCCAUGGAAUCGGCCUGGCAUUGAGCUCCGAGCCAAAUCACGUGCUACUGCAGAGACGGUGCUUUCCCCUUUGGUCACUGGACUGUGGGAGACAGCUCAGAGCAGCACCUUCCUUGACACCCCCCCUUCCCGCCCCGGUGCCUGGCUCUGGCUCAUCCUAAUCCCUGCUCUGCUUGUGCCCAGCCCCCACACUGGGCCAUAGUCAGGGCCCUGCACCCCCGGCUUCCUGCAAUUCACCGUGACUCUCAGCCAGCAAGUAAAAGAGAAGGUUUAUUUAGACGACAGGAACGCAGUCCCAGACAGGUCUUGUAGGUACAGACAACAGGAUCCUCCCCAUUAGGUCCAUCUUGGGGUUCCAGGAGCACCACAGCCCCCUUGGGGGGUCAGAGCCCUGUCUGUCCUUCCCUCCAUUCCUCAGCCAGCUCCUGAAACCCUCUCACUCUCCAGCGUUUGUCCAGCUUCCCGGGCAGAGGUGUAACCAGGCCUCUAACCCCUUCCUGGGGUCUCACGUUACAUGCUCAGGUCUCCUCCCUCCAGCCAGUCUCCCAUCCCCCAAUGCAGAUCGUCCUCCCAGGCCAACACCCCCCACUCAGCAUUCACAGCCCACAGUAAGAACAGUCCCGGUUCGUCACACCUGGCACCUCUGACCUCAGGCCCUGCGCUCUCUGGGCUGCCGUGCUGCUCUGCAUUGCUCUGAGCUGGAGUCCUCAGGGGACAGGCCAUGGGCAGUGUGACUGGGCUUCCUGGUCCGUUAGCACGGCAGCUUCCAGGGUAGGCGGUGGCGCAUCCCCUCAGUCCCUCCUGAGCCCUAGGACAGGUACUGACGUGCUAUGUUCCUCU